rnacentral:rRNA from 1 species
UACGUAGGGGGCGAGCGUUGUCCGGAUUUAUUGGGCGUAAAGAGCUCGUAGGCGGCUUGGCAAGUCGGGUGUGAGACCUCCAGGCUCAACCUGGAGACGCCACUCGAUACUGCUAUGGCUAGAGUCCGGUAGGGGACCACGGAAUUCCUGGUGUAGCGGUGAAAUGCGCAGAUAUCAGGAGGAACACCGGUGGCGAAGGCGGUGGUCUGGGCCGGCACUGACGCUGAGGUGCGAAAGCGUGGGGAGCAAACAGG